GAGAAACAAAGGCUCCAAAGAUGCCCGAUGUUGUUCUUAAGCGCAGAUCCGAGAAAGAUGAUAUCAGCAGAUCACAUUUUCAACCAGAUAGAAACUAGGGCUGAAAUGCAGACCAGGAGACCAGCUCUCCCUUUUUUUUUCCUGUUGUCGGUGCACAAAGUGAGCGGCAAUGCACGGAGCGCCGUGAACGCCGCCUCCUUCAGACGCAGCCUGGAGUAUGAGAGUGGAGAAACAGGCUGUGCAGCUGCUUGGAGCGCAAUUUCUUCAACCAGAUAACCAGUCCAGGUCCCGAAGGCACCUGAUGGACCCCCCCGCCCUCCCACCCGGCCCCCACAGCGCAUCUCAAUUCGACCGACCCUUCACAGCUCUGCCCGAACCGCCCAUCACCAACUCCAGACAGCGCCUGCUGCGCCGUGACUCAGCUUCCUCCGGCAUCCAGGAAGGAGUGUUGGGCAGAGAUCACCCCCCCCCCCCCCCUCCCCCUUCCCUCCCUCCCCCCAUUCCCAAGAACUGCUGAGCUCAUGCCACCCCGCUCUUGUUUCCAGUAACAGUUUCUCUUUCUUCCGUGCGUGUUCCCUUUUCCCGUGAAACUCGAACGCUUUGAGUAACAAACGCUUGCGUCACGACUCGCGCUGCGGCUCGGCUGUUGUUUUUGUGGCUGACAGGGACCCCCGGCCCCCGCUUCGUGCGCUCCCCUCUCAGCGUGCUGAUUCGCUUAAAGGACUCGGCGACCCAGAAGGUAUCUGCUUUGUGAAAGGGCCGAAAAAAGCCGCGCUGCCCAACCGGGAAUACGAGGGAUUCAAAUGCUUACGAGCGGCGUGGAGAGGCAGACGAGCAUGCCGACGGAAGCCUUUCGCCGGGCCAUGCUGUGCACAAUCACACCAGGGAGGAGAGAUUCAGUUCCAUAUAUGAGGCCCGCGUGCAGACGCGGUGCGCGCAUGCCCAUUUUUAGACUCCGUUCUGUGGAGCUCGGCCACGACGACCCAACUAGGAGUUGUUUACAGAAGCUCUCUGGUGCUGAUUCAACGCAGACGUACGUCCCCCCCCCCGCCGCCGCCACAAAAAUGGCACCAAACAACCUCUACCACAUAGAAUAGAAUUAUAGAAUGGAAGGAUUUGUAAAGCACCGAGUUGCUGAAAAAGGCUGAAAUGGGUCCCCAGCGGACGCACUGGACUCAAAAGUCACCGCAGCCAACUGUCGGCCCGAAGCUGAAACGACAUCGCGAAGAUUUUAACGCCUCUAUUUAUUAUGUAGAGGCUUGUUUGACAGAGUUUUGGAGACUUGACGUACAUCCUGGCUGAAGAGAACUCCAACCACAACACACAUUCUCUCCAUUAGAGGCCCAUAACACGGCCCCAUAAACAUGGAGCGAGCCGAGUGGCGGAUCCGUUACAUAACAGCAGAAACAGGCCAAAGCUUGAAUCAUCAAUGUCGCUUUCUUUCUCCAGCAGAGCAUCAAGACGCAUACCUCCACUUUCCCUCACACACUUCUGUAUUACAUGUAUAUAUUGUAUGUUUGGUAUUUUCUUUGUCUCCUAAAAUAAUAAUACAAAUACAUGCUUUAAUGAUAAUUUUGAAUGAACCUCUAUUCACCAUAAACAAGCCAACGGAUCAUAAUGGUACUUUCUGAAUUAUUUGCUGCUCAUUCACAGAUGGUAAAUGUACUUCUGGAAGGUGGACAAUAAUAUUGUAUUGUUUGCUAUUCUCUUUUCUGCUCAAUGGACCCAAACCUUCUGCAGCACAGAGAGAGCAAAAGGUUUCAUACAUCACUUUAACACGUUGUAAUUAUGUAGAUGAAGAUGGAGGGCGAACGAAAUGGAACUAAAGGGGAAAUCCAAUGUGUGCAAAGCAGGGAUGCAACACAUGAGCCCUUCCUCUGCCUAAUGGCACCGGCCAGUCAGCCAGUCCGGGUCACUGAGUCCCAGUUGCCGACGCCGAGGCCCCCCAUACCUCCACCCCCCCGGACCCCCCUCGCCCCUCGGCCCGCCUCCGCAGGAAACAAGUCCCCGAAGCCUCGUGCUCCUCUCCGGGCCUCAGACAUGUGUAAUUAGGUAUAAAAUACAGCCG
ensembl:lncRNA